GAUGAACGCUGGCGGCGUGCUUAACACAUGCAAGUCGAACGAUGAAGCCCAGCUUGCUGGGUGGAUUAGUGGCGAACGGGUGAGUAACACGUGAGUAACCUGCCCUUGACUCUGGGAUAAGCCUGGGAAACUGGGUCUAAUACUGGAUAUGACUUCUCCUCGCAUGGUGGGGGGUGGAAAGAUUUAGUGGUCUUGGGUGGACUCGCGGCCUAUCCGCUUGUUGGGGGGGUAUUGGCUCACCAAGGCGACGACGGGUAGCCGGCCUGGGAGGGUGACCGGCCACACUGGGACUGAGACACGGCCCAGACUCCUACGGGAGGCAGCAGUGGGGAAUAUUGCACAAUGGGCGCAAGCCUGAUGCAGCGACGCCGCGUGAGGGAUGACGGCCUUCGGGUUGUAAACCUCUUUCAGUAGGGAAGAAGCGAGAGUGACGGUACCUGCAGAAGAAGCGCCGGCUAACUACGUG
rnacentral:rRNA from 1 species